UAGGUAUGCAUAGAAUCUUCACCACAUCUGGUUCUUAUUUUUUUUCUUUUUAUUUUUUGUUGGGGAGGGAGGGAUUAUUAUAUAAGUUCUUUUAACAUUGACAACAUUCGAUACUGCUAUCCACGUUAAUAAAUUUUCUCUCAGAGUUCUUCUCCAUUCUAUUUGCAAUUCCUCAAAUGGUUGGCUAUUUAUCUCACUAGCGCAAUUCUUUGGACGAUCCUAAUACAAAGAUAAUGAGACCUGCCCGGUUCAUUUUAAACACCCUUCAUCUAUCUUUUAGGGAAAAAAAAAAAAAGAAUAUCAUAUCUGCUUUCUUGUCCUUGUCUCUGUCUUAAUCUUUGUUUUGCUUUGUAGGUAUAAAAUGGCGUAUGUUUACAACUUUAUAGGCAUUAGCUACAACAAGAAUGAAUACAAUCAACAGACGGUGUUGGUCUCCAAUGUCAAUAUGAAACGGCUAAUUGAAUGUAGCCAUCAUGGGAUGUAUACUCUUCCAUAGCCUACACAAAUCAGAAUGCCAAGGUAAAUUCACAAUUGUUCAAAAACAAGUAAUAAUUUUUAAAUUUUCGUACAUCCAUAAAUUGUUAGGCUAAAUUUUGCUUCUCAUAAAUCCAUCUUAAACUGUUUAUGUAAGACAACAUAAAGCAUACAAUUUGUAAUAGUAGUCAAAUGAAUUCAUAUACCUUAUUUCAAAAUAAUGGACAUUCCUCUCAAUUUUCUUUUCAUUUGGAAUAGAAGUGCUCUGUUUUUGUUCUAUGAAAUUCAUUGGAGAAGGUUAUUUCUCAUUUGAAUGAUCCUUUAGGGGUCUUGAUUAGUGCAUCGGCACUUCCACUGAAUCAAAUGGCUCAGUUCAUUCUAACCUUUCCCUCAAACGCAUUUGUAGCAAAGGUAGAAGCGUGGUGCGGCAUGUUUAUACGAUGCCCUUGAGGCUUUACUAUCGUCAAUAAAUGCAAUUGUAAUAAAUCAGAACUCCAAUUGUUUAUCAUCAAUAAAUGCAAUUCUUGUCUUACCAAUAUUGUUCACCUGUAUAAUUACAAUUGCACAUUUUCCUCACUCGAUAAUUUCGUUUCAUGUGAUGUAGAAAAGCAGCGAGACAAGUAAUCACAAUAUCCAAACUGAGUACGAAAAUGAUCUACCAAAUUAAUUUAUAAAAUUUUUGUCAUUAAUUUGUUUUAAUAUAUACUUCUUUAGUCACUUCAUUUUGUCAUUAAUUUAUAAAAUUUUUGAAUCUCAGAUGAAAGUAGUUUAAUAUUAGCUUGCUCGAUGCAAAAAUCCAAAUUUGUUUUAACAAAAAUCUUCAACCUUUUCCUGAUAAUAUGCACCACGCACACCCUCUGAGUUCGCAAGCAUUUUGUUAGCAAACUUUCAGGUAGCACCCUACUCCUCUUGGGCAAGCUAGCAUCAAAUCCAAUUGAAGAGAUUUUUAUUCAUCCAAUCAUAAUCUAUUUGUAUGCAAAUGUUAAUAUGCUGGCUUAUAGUAUUUUCUUAACUAUAGUUCAUUUUUCUUUUUCAAGAAAAAGUUUAGUACAAUAUAGUGAUGAGGCCUAAUUUCAUGGAUGAAAUUGAAUGUGGAAACUUCUUUGAUCAAAUUGUUGACUUCAUUGAGCUUUUCCCUGAAAACGAGGGUGCUGGUGGUGGCCUUGCUGGUAAUGGUGAUAUCAAGGAUUUUUGAGCAUUUAGGACAGUGUGUUUCCAGAUACCGACCCCAUUUUCUCCAGCAGCAAGCAAGCUUUAUGGGUAACUUUUUAAAUUCUAUAUUCAAAUUCUGACUUUAAAUUCACUUUUUAGCUUCUAUUUGUUGUAAAUCACCAUGUCCCUACAGAAACUUGAGGUAAAGGUGGCAUUGAGAAAUCCAUAUAAGUUUUAUUUCAAGAGGAUUAAAACAAAAAAAUCUGGUGUAUUCUACAUGCUAAAGUGAGAUAACAAAUUCUGUAAUUACUAUUUUCUUAUAUAUAUAUAUAUAUAUAUAUAUAUAUAUAUGUUUGCAUUUAAUUGUACCUCACUUGUUUACAAUUGUAGGAACCUGGCAAAUAAGUACCCAAAAGAUGAUCUAGAAUAUAUUCUGCUAACAAAGGUUUGAUUUAUUUACAUUUCUAUUUACUUUAAUCAUUACACUCAUUUGUCAUAUGUCCCCCAUUAUUGUUAUUAGUCUAGACACAAUUGCCGGUGAGAUACUAUAUAUUUUUUAAAUGAACUAAUGAUCAUGUGAUGCUCCCAUAAUAUAUAAAAUUAUUAGUUUGUCAUGGUUAACACUUCCUUUGUUACAUUUUCUUCUUGUCUUAAUUGUUGUAUUACGACCCAAAACUAAAAGAGAAAUUUUAAAUCUGUAAAUUCUCAUCUUCAUCCAGCUAUAUUCAACAAAACCUUUUAAUCUAGAUAUGUAAAAUCAUUCUUCAGUUGUACCAAAUUUGUUUCAUCUACAAAAUCUGCAAGUGACCUUUUAUGUUGAGCUAUGUAAACUCAAUUGCAUCAUCUGUAGUUAUGUUGUUGCUGUUGCUAAACUUGGAUGAUGUUUGUAGUGAUACUAUCUUUCUAAAGGUGCAAUUUUCUUUUUUUAAGCUAUCAUAAUGGGAUUGUUACCUCCCCUACCACCAAUAUUAUCCUUCGAAGGCUCAAUUUAAUAGCUUGAAUGCUAGGAUGCCAAUGAUGCAGAUUAAUUUGGUGGGGAACUAUGGGAAUAAGUAAUAAUUUGAAGUGGUCGAAUGGACUGAAUCCUGAAAUAUAAGGGAAAUUUAAAUUGUUUUGUAAUACGGGAAAUUAGAAAAAUAGAUGCCAAUAUUGAAGCCAGGAAGAGCAUAGUAAAAGAAUUAAGGAAAUUAUUAGAAAAUCAUUUACAUGUAAUAUUCCUACCCCACAUUUGCUUAGAUAGAAUUUGAAUGGACUAAAUCCUGUAAAUUUAAGAGAACAUUUUAAGAGAUUCAUUGUACUUGAAAAUAAUUUGUUGUGUGAUACAUGAAAUUGAAGAAAUUUAUGCGAAGCAAGAAGAGAAAAUUGGGGAGCUGGAAAAGGUAAAUGCCAAUUUUGAAGUCAUGAAGAGUGAUGUAAAAGAACUAGGGAAAAUGUUAUAUUAUUUACUUAAAAAAGUUCCAACCCCAUGUUUGCUUAGAAUUUGAACCUACGAUUUAUACUUGAUAGUUAAUUCACCUUUAAAUUGUGCUUUAAUUUUUUUCUGAAAAAACAUUUAAUUUUUUACAUUAAUGUCACUUCCUUUCAAAAACGCAAGGAAAAUGCAAUUAUUGUGAACCCAAAUCAAUUCCUUAUAGAAACUCAAGGAAUAGGUGGCUCUUAGACAUUGAAUACAUACAUAUCAGGAGCAUAUGAUAGAUUUAAAGUAAUACAUACAUAUCAGGAGCAUAUGAUAGAUUUAAAGUAAUACUUUUAUUCUUUAAUUUUAUUUUUUUCCAAUCUAGAUAUCAUGUUACUUAUCCUAUUGAAAGAAAUUGAGCACUUUAUUUUUCUUCAAGCUUAAAUUCUUGAACCUUUCAUUUCUUUAUUUCAACUUUAAUACAUGCACUCACUUAUUUGAUAUCAAUAGUUGCCAUUUUCUUUUAUCUUCACUAUUUUUUUCAUAUGUUUUUGUCUCCAUCUUCUACUCCGUCUACUUAGUAGAGGUCACCUAAACCAUUCCUUGUACUGAAUAUUUAAACAAGCUUCAUUUUGGAAAGUUACAAAUUUGGCAUAACUGGGUUGAUAUUGUCAUUCAAUGAAGUCUUAUUGGUCUUUUUUUUUUCCUCAUUCAUUUACACCGUUGUCCAUCACUAACCUAUCAUUUUCUUGUUUGUGAUUAUGUUUUACAAAUUGCAAGUUUCCAUUAUUAUAAUUCACUGUUCAUAUUUUUCAGUUUUAACUAUAUGCAUCUCUUGAUGUUUAUUUUCCUCCCUAGAUUUUUUAAGCAUUUGAGUCGGUAGAGCUUGUGCAACUUCCCACAAAUUCAGAGAUGGGACAUUGCAAUGGUUUCGAGUUUGUUUAGGUCAGUAUUUUGUGGAAGUUGAUUGUUUUGAAAAGUGUGUUGCAAUAACUAGGAUUCUAAUUUUCUACCUUAUCUUUGAAUAUGAGUUUUAUUGAUACAUCAUUGCAGUUUGCACAACUUGAACAUGCAAAGGUAGCACAAAGUGUGAUACGUCUACCAACCCUCAAACACUGUAAGGGGAUAGAAUACACGUGCCUUCUAUACAAGAGUUCACUAAAUCUGACUUUUCUAUUAAUCCGAUAUGAUAAAAUUAUAUUUUUAGAAUAAAACAAUGUCACUUCCAACGUCCAGGUAUACAGUAAACUCGAAUACAGAGUCAACAUGGCAAGACAAUUGAAAAAAUUAAUCAAAGUUCAAAAGCCACCACCAAGAAUGCACACUAUUAAGCCCACAUAUAAAAUCUGAUUUAAGAAGACGUGUUUUGUUUAUUCCACAUAUGAACUCCAAAAGGCUAAGUAUAAAACCAAGCAGAAGUCUCUCUAUGCUAAUAGGCACGUGAAAUCAUAUAAAAUAUCAAAUAAAAUAAUAUGCUUUAUUAAGUAUUUACCUCCAUUUGCUACUUAUUUUCUCGUAGUCACUCUUUCAAAGGUCUUGACAAUCUAUCCAUACCAUCACUUCAGUGAGAAAAGCAUCCUGGACCAUAGGCACCAGACUAUCAUAACAACAAUUCUUUGCUGCAAUUAUCAUUAAAGUAUUAAUAGAAGUAAAGCAAGAUUAGAAGAAAGUUUAUCAAGUUUUGUCAAGGCAGGGAUGGAUAAUCCUCUUUUCCUCAAUGUUUAGGCCAUCGAUGGUUAUUUUUAUAAGCCUUGGAUAUACUAGCUCCUGAGGCUUCCAUAGCAUUAAUGCAAUCACAGGUCUUUUCUUAGAAUGAUAAUUCUUACCUCCUUACUGUACAAUUUGACUGCCAUGUCUAUGAAUUGAUCUUCGCAAGUGUUUUAUCCUGGAAGGUAAACAAAUACCUUAAUGCACAAAAUAAAAGGGCAAACCAUGAACAUCAGAAAUGAAAACUACUGUUGGUGGUGGCCUUGUUGGUAACAGUGAUAUCAAGGAUUUCGAACAUUUGGGACAAUUCACUGCCAAAUAUCGACCCCCUUUUCUCCGCUAGCAAUAGCAAUAGCAAUAGCAAUGCUCCAUCGGACCUCACAACUGAGCUUGCUAUUCAGGUGAGCAUCAAUAUGUUCUACUCAAUUUUACCUCAUUUGGUUACAAAGUAGUUCAAUAUAUGCAGUCAAUAAAAUUCAUUGAGACAUUUUUGUAAGUAUAAUUUGUUAUGUGAUUGCCAAAGAAGGAAUAUUAUGCGAAUUUAAAAGUUUUUGCUUCGUAAAAAGCGACAAUGAACACUUAGCUUAGUCUCAUGCUUGUUAAAUUGUCGUUAUAUGAGUCAAUUAGCCGACUCCAAAUUUAUUGGGAACAAGGUUUAAUUUGUUAUUACAUCCGUUCAUUGUUUCAUCAUUUGGUUCUAUUUCCAGUUAGGCAAUCAACGUUUAAGUAAUUUGUACUUCAUUUACAUUUCAUCUGCCUUUACAUUUUACUUUUAACUUGCGUUAGUCCUUAUUGCAUAUCAGGUAGUAGGAGUGUGACGCAAAGCAGAGACACUCAAUCAAAACAUCGGUUGUAAUAGUCCCCCGAAUUGGAAAAGCAAAUAAUAUUCUCCAACCAAGUGAUAUCUUGGAGCUGAAACUCUCAUAAAGUUGCUGAAGGACUAUUCAAGAAGCCAUGAGGUUCUUCAUUUUUCUUUUCAGUCUUUGUGCAUUUUUUACUUGUAGUAUGGCUGCCUACGUAUUCUCCUAUAUUUUCUAAUUUUUUUGUUUGAAGUAUUUUGUUCCAUAACUUCCUUUGCCCAAUUUAUUGCAAAUUUUCGUUGCUGGGUUUAAUUCGGAUUAUCAAUGCCUACACCUAUAAAAAGAGAGAUCCUCUUUUGCAAAAUGUGAUAUUCUAUACAAUUAUAUGUUUGCGUUUUCUUAAAGGUGAUUGAACAAUUUUGCACUCGUAGAUUUGUGGUGCGUUUACAUCGUGUCGAUUGCUAAAACUUGAAUCCAUUUCAUUAACAAAUAUAAAGUUCUUCCAUUUUGUUCUCAACUUCUAAUUUUUAGCCUAUCUAUUCGAUCUUCAACAUACAUUUGUUUCUUGCAAUUUAAGCCAUGUUUGAACUUAAUGACUCAACGGAAAGGACAACAAAGUGGGAUAUUGUUGAUUGCAAACAUUAGAUACAUUAAAGAAAGUAAUAGGCUAACCCAUACUCAACCAACCAAAGCAUUAGAUACAUUAAAGCAAGAAAGUACAAUUUCAACAACAGGAGUUGGUGCUUCUACUUUUGGUUUUGAGCUUUACGACUCAAUGGAAAGGGCAACAAAGUGGGAUCGUGUAUUGCAAUCAUUAGAUACAUUAAAGAAAGUGAUAGGCUUACUCAUGCUCAACCAACCAAAGCAUCAGAUACACUAAAGCAAGAAAGACUCAACUUUAACAACGGGGAGUUGAUGCUUCUACUUUUGGUGCAAUGGGGAAUGCUACUGGCAUGAGAAUGGUUGUCAUAGAGGAAGCAAUGAUGGGGAAAAUCGAGCUUCAUAGUUGGCUGCAGUGGAGAAAUGUUCCUCCGAUGGUGCCACCUACAAGACCGUUAGAAGACAUCUAACCAAGCUGCAUCCCAGUCCCCACUGUUGAUAAUUCUUCCAGGUCCUCAAUUUCUUGAUAGAUUUCUUUAUGCUUAUAAUCGCAAAUACUCAUCACUUGUAUUUCUAGAGCUUUACGUGAUACAGUGAAUGUACUUGGGCAACAAAGUAAAUUUGAGCUUGUAUUCUUCCAUUUUUUGUUGCUAGCUUCUACUUCAUUGUAAUGUGAUUUUUAACAUUUUUCCUUCUUUUCUUCUGUAUAAAAG
rnacentral:lncRNA from 1 species